CGGCAGCACGGGGGCAANCCUGGUGGCGAGUGGCGAACGGGUGAGUAAUACAUCGGAACGUGUCCUGUAGUGGGGGAUAGCCCGGCGAAAGCCGGAUUAAUACCGCAUACGCUCUACGGAGGAAAGGGGGGGAUCUCAGGACCUCCCGCUACAGGGGCGGCCGAUGGCAGAUUAGCUAGUUGGUGGGGUAAAGGCCUACCAAGGCGACGAUCUGUAGCUGGUCUGAGAGGACGACCAGCCACACUGGGACUGAGACACGGCCCAGACUCCUACGGGAGGCAGCAGUGGGGAAUUUUGGACAAUGGGCGAAAGCCUGAUCCAGCAAUGCCGCGUGUGUGAAGAAGGCCUUCGGGUUGUAAAGCACUUUUGUCCGGAAAGAAAACCUCCGCCCUAAUAUGGUGGGGGGAUGACGGUACCGGAAGAAUAAGCACCGGCUAACUACGUGCCAGCAGCCGCGGUAAUACGUAGGGUGCAAGCGUUAAUCGGAAUUACUGGGCGUAAAGCGUGCG
rnacentral:rRNA from 1 species